ensembl:snoRNA
UGCGAGAGUGAUGAGUUGCACUAAUCAGUCGGGGUGUUUUGAUGCAGUGGCGUCAAGACCCCGAUCCGACCCCAACCUGAGGACACACUGUGUGCACAGGGGCCAUCUGACUCCAC